rnacentral:rRNA from 1 species
UACGGAGGGUGCAAGCGUUGUCCGGAAUCACUGGGCGUAAAGGGCGCGUAGGCGGCUCAUGAAGGCUGUGGUGAAAGUCCGGGGCUCAACCUCGGAUCGGCCGUGGCGACUCGUGGGCUGGAGCACUGUAGAGGCGGGUGGAAUUCCGGGUGUAGCGGUGGAAUGCGUAGAGAUCGGAAAGAACACCAACGGCGAAAGCACUCUGCUGGGCCGACACUGACACUGAGAGACGAAAGCUAGGGGAGCGAAUGGG